UCCCUGGUAGUAUAUCGGUUAGUACACGCGCCUGUCAUGGAUAAUGGCUGGGAGUGCGCGCGAAAGCUGGGUUUGACUCCCAGCCGGGGAG